rnacentral:misc_RNA from 1 species
GCGAUGUAGACCACUAUUGACGCGAGUUCUGCUAUCUUCGCGCUUCUUUUCUUAAACAGUAUUUCUUGUCUGCGUGUGUGUCGCAUCUGCAAGCGCGCAUUGGUGUGCGUGCGCCUCCGUGCAAAUGAGUGCGCUUCAUCUUUUUCUAGGCUUCUGCGAGUCCUCUUUGGCGGUGUUGUUGUCUUUCCUGCAUGCGCCUCUGGUCGCUGGAGUGGCCUGCGGAUACUCGCCCCCCUCUUCUCUAUAGUAUGUGCUCUUGCCUGUUCGCCUGUAGGCGUGUGUGUGUGGCAGUGCAUCCUACCCACGCCAACCUCGCUCCUCUUCCAAAGGUUUCGCUGUUCCUUCCUUUCGCGUGUAUGGUGGAGCCUGAUCUGGUGCCCCCGAUGAAGUCCAAGGCGCGGAAGCACCCCCCCCCCUCCCUCCGAAAAGGAAGGAGCUGUGCAUCACCACUGCAGCAUAAUUGCAGCGGGGGAGGUGCAUAGUCAUGAACUCGAGGAAGCAUACAAACGUGCAAGCUCAUGUCGGCGGCAGAAGACGAAGGAAAACGGAUGGCGAACGAAACAGGGCGACAGGGAGGGGGUUCUGCCGGAGAGGAGUGCAGAGUGCUCAUCUGCAUCGCCCCACCUUGGCAGAACGCACGUCCUAGUUGAAUAAAAGGCAAAGAGGAGUAAUAUACUGAGCGCUUUCCUGUGACUCUUUUCUCCCUUUAUGUAGCUGUUUAUGUGCGCGUCGUGCCUCUGUUGCGGCUUUCCGUGUUGCCUCUUCGCAUUCUAUACGGUCGAACGACGACGAAGUAACAGAAAGGACGGUGGAGCGAGGGGAGCAUGGCACCGUGAGGUGUUUGACUGAGGCGAAAAUUCGCCUCUCUUUGUUGUUUGAAUUUUUUUUUCGUGUGUUCGCUUCUUUUUCUAUUCUCUUUGCUGUCUAUACGUGGCAUUCUUCGUGGCUGUGGUGCCAACAGUGGUGCAUAAGAGGGAAUCGAGUAGCAGGAUGAGAAUUUGCCAACGAGAACGCUCUCCGCAUCCGAAAAAAAAAACAAAAGACGGCGAACACAAAACGUCAGGGAUGAAAGCCGGCGUAUGGGGUAACACGUCUCCCUGCCUCCUGCCUCCUGCCUCCUGCCUCUUGCCUCUUCCUUGUCUUUUUUUUUUCGGAUCUCCCCAACUCUGUUUCUCGCUUUCUGUGCUGACUCUGGCUGCCAUGACGAUCGCUUCCUUGUUUGUUUUGCUGCUACUCGCUACCACACUUUGACGAUAUUUUUUUUUCCUUCUAUUCGUUUUUUUUUUGCCCUCUUGUCCUUGACUUUUCCUUUGUGCCCCUUCCUCUUCUCCCUUCGUCGCUCGUGUAG